CCUACGGGUGGCAGCAGUGAGGAAUAUUGGUCAAUGGGCUUACGCCUGAACCAGCCAAGUCGCGUGAGGGAAGACUGCCCUAUGGGUUGUAAACCUCUUUUGUCAGGGAGCAAUUGGCGCUACGUGUAGCGUUCUCGAGAGUACCUGAAGAAAAAGCAUCGGCUAACUCCGUGCCAGCAGCCGCGGUAAUCCGGAGGAUGCGAGCGUUAUCCGGAUUUAUUGGGUUUAAAGGGUGCGUAGGCGGAAUGCCAAGUCAGCGGUAAAAUCGCGGGGCUCAACCUCGCUCCGCCGUUGAAACUGGCGGUCUUGAGUGGGCGAGAAGUAUGCGGAAUGCGUGGUGUAGCGGUGAAAUGCAUAGAUAUCACGCAGAACCCCGAUUGCGAAGGCAGCAUGCCGGCUUCCGACUGACGCUGAAGCACGAAAGCGUGGGGAUCGAACAGGAUUAGAUACCCUGGUAGUC
rnacentral:rRNA from 1 species